AACCAACCAACCAACCAAUCAUGAUCAAUCAAUAAUGAUCAAUCAACAAAUCAUGAUCAUGAUCAAUCAAUCAACCAAUCAUGAUCAUGAUUAAUCAAUCAAUCAAUCAAUCAUGUUUCCGUCUCAUGUGUUUAAUAUAGGGUUCAAGAUCUCCUUUGUUUCUUUUUCGCUGUUUCAAUUGACCCUUUCCAACGUGUUUAACCAACCAACCAACCAACCAACCAACCAACCAACCAACCAACCAAUCAAUCAAUCAAUCAAUCAAUCAAUCAAUCAAUCAAUCAAUCAAUCAAUCAAUCAAUCAAUCAUGAUCAAUCAAUCAUGUUUCCGUCUCGUCUCGUGUGUUUAAUAUAGGGUCCAAGAUCUUCUUUGUUUCUUUUUCGCUGUUUCAAUUGGCCCUAUCCAACGUGUUUAACCAACCAACCAACCAACCAACCAACCAACCAACCAACCAACCAACCAAUCAAUCAAUCAAUCAAUCAAUCAAUCAAUCAAUCAAUCAUGUUUCCGUCUCGUGUGUUUAAUAUAGGGUCCAAGAUCUUUUUUGUUUCUUUUUCGCUGUUUCAAUUGGCCCUAUCCAACGUGUUUUACCAACCAACCAACCAACCAACCAAUAAUCAAUCAAUCAAUCAAUCAAUCAAUCAUCAAUCAAAAUGAUCAUGAUCAUGAUCAAUCAAUCAUGUUUCAUGAUCAAUCAAUCAUGUUUCAUGAAAAAUUGAAAUUUAAUAUUGUUCUUGCGUCACUUCUGAAAAAAAAAUCCACAUGUACUCUGAAACUACAAAUACAAUCGACCUCAAAAUUUGCAGUCAGCAGGGCAUACAUGUACUAAAAGUUUGUAAAAAAAUUUGGUGCAGAUAUCUCUCAAAGCUUUUCCUAGAGAAAAAAAAUUGCAAUGCCGUAAAAAUUGCUUGCUAGGUCCGUAAAUUUCAGUAAAAGCCUACAAUAAAAUGUCCGCUCCGAGAUUGAAAUACUAAUCUGUGUUACAAACAGGUGCUGAAAAAUGUACAUUAUCAGAAAAAUAAUCAAUAAAUGUGUUUUAAAGUUACACCGGAUCAAAUAAAUCCAAAUCAUGCACUGUUUGUGAACUGUCAUCAAAAUGUCAAUUUCCUACAAUGACAAAAGAAAUUACAUUGUGUGCAUUCCGUCUCUAUACAUGUUGUCUGUUCAAAGUCCCCACCUAAAAAGGAAUAAAAAGACUAUCUUUUCGUUAUUAUAAACCCGUGUCACGUGAUGUGGCGCGCGCGCUGUACCUAAAAUAAAAGAAAAACUUUCCAAACUAAACAUGAAACUUCUCCGGUAACAAUAAUAUAGACCCCAUACAGAAACAAACAAACAAACAAACAAACAAACAAACAAACCCCCCCCCCCCAAAUUCAAUUAAUUUUAAAGGGGGAAAGACCCCCUACAAUUGCUUUUUUAAAGCAAUUGAUUUAUAUUGUAAAAAACCUUUUUAACCAUUCUGUUCCGUUAAUAAAAAAAAAAAAAAAUCUCCCCGAGACCCCCUUUUGCCCCCCCCCUUUUUUUUUAACCCUCCACUUACAACUGAAUGUAGGUUGUGUACUAUCUAUCCUAUCAACGUAAAACGAACGACAACUCCAGUUUUUUUCCAUAUUAUUAGGUCUUUCCACUUUUCUGUGGAAAGCCUAUUGUAUUUGUUCUGAUUAUUAUUAUUAUUAUUAUUAUUUUUUUUUUUUUCCGCCAAAUUUUGUUCUUGCGAUAAAUGUUUGUUUCGCAAUAUGUCGCUUAGAUUUUUUUCAUAUUGUAUCGUAUAGUUUAUGCGCUUUUAAAUUUCACCCUGCUAAGCCGAACCAUUUUCUUUGUAAGAGUUAUCUCCCUAUUCACUGUUUGUCAUGUGUGUGCAUCUCCUUCGUAACAAAAUAAGAAAGCGACAAAAUUCUUUUUACAAAUUGUUCGUUACAUCCUCAGGAAUUUUUGGCUAAUUUGGAUCGAAGCGAUUCGAUGAAAUUUUAUAGGAGUUAUGUACCUUUACGGAAUAAAUUUGUCGGUAUGUUUUUUUAACUCAUAAACCGUUAACCGUAUAACCCUGGAAUGUUUUUAUUUGAGUCCCCUGGGUCCUAACUUAGAAAAUUAGGUCAAGGUCAAAGGUCAAGGUCAUAUUUUAGAUUUUCAUAUGUCUUUGAUUUCCCUAUAAUUCUUGAAUGGUUAUAGAUACAGAAAAUUUAAGCAGUGAAAAAUGUUCAGUACUUCAAGGGGCAACUUUGUUACAUUAUGACUGUAUUGGUUUUACCAUUAUGUAAGGGACAUAACCCCCAUUGAUGGUUUAUAAAAAGCCAUUAUUAGGCAAAACUCUUAAACAAAAGGUCCUUGACCCAUAGGGUCUUUUGCAAUGACAUUGUGAAGCAAUGACCUUGACAAAGGUCACAAGGUCAAAGGUCAAGGUCAUGUACAUAUGUGAUUUGGGGCACGACUUGAAGAAUUUUUAUGUGUGUUUGCCAACCAACCAACCAACCAACCAACCAAUCAUGAUCAAUCAAUAAUGAUCAAUCAACAAAUCAUGAUCAUGAUCAAUCAAUCAACCAAUCAUGAUCAUGAUUAAUCAAUCAAUCAAUCAAUCAUGUUUCCGUCUCAUGUGUUUAAUAUAGGGUUCAAGAUCUCCUUUGUUUCUUUUUCGCUGUUUCAAUUGACCCUUUCCAACGUGUUUAACCAACCAACCAACCAACCAACCAACCAACCAACCAACCAAUCAAUCAAUCAAUCAAUCAAUCAAUCAAUCAAUCAAUCAAUCAAUCAAUCAAUCAAUCAAUCAUGAUCAAUCAAUCAUGUUUCCGUCUCGUCUCGUGUGUUUAAUAUAGGGUCCAAGAUCUUCUUUGUUUCUUUUUCGCUGUUUCAAUUGGCCCUAUCCAACGUGUUUAACCAACCAACCAACCAACCAACCAACCAACCAACCAACCAACCAAUCAAUCAAUCAAUCAAUCAAUCAAUCAAUCAAUCAUGUUUCCGUCUCGUGUGUUUAAUAUAGGGUCCAAGAUCUUUUUUGUUUCUUUUUCGCUGUUUCAAUUGGCCCUAUCCAACGUGUUUUACCAACCAACCAACCAACUAAUCAAUAAAUCAAUCAAUCAAUCAUGAUCAAUCAAUGAUCAUGAUCAAUCAAUCAUGUUUCAUGAUCAAUCAAUCAUGUUUCAUGAAAAAUUGAAAUUUAAUAUUGUUCUUGCGUCACUUCUGAAAAAAAAAUCCACAUGUACUCUGAAACUACAAAUACAAUCGACCUCAAAAUUUGCAGUCAGCAGGGCAUACAUGUACUAAAAGUUUAUAAAAAAACUUUGGUGCAGAUAUCUCUCAAAGCUUUUCCUAGAGAAAAAAAAUUGCAAUGCCGUAAAAAUUGCUUGCUAGGUCCGUAAAUUUCAGUAAAAGCCUACAAUAAAAUGUCCGCUCCGAGAUUGAAAUACUAAUCUGUGUUACAAACAGGUGCUGAAAAAUGUACAUUAUCAGAAAAUAAUCAAUAAAUGUGUUUUAAAGUUACACCGGAUCAAAUAAAAUCCAAAUCAUGCACUGCUUGUGAACUGUCAUCAAAAUGUCAAUUUCCUACAAUGACAAAAGAAAUUACAUUGUGUGCAUUCCGUCUCUAUACAUGUUGUCUGUUCAAAGUCCCCACCUAAAAAGGAAUAAAAAGACUAUCUUUUCGUUAUUAUAAACCCGUGUCACGUGAUGUGGCGCGCGCGCUGUACCUAAAAUAAAAGAAAAACUUUCCAAACUAAACAUGAAACUUCUCCGGUAACAAUAAUAUAGACCCCAUACAGAAACAAACAAACAAACAAACAAACAAACAAACAAACCCCCCCCCCCCCAAAUUCAAUUAAUUUUAAAGGGGGAAAGACCCCCUACAAUUGCUUUUUUAAAGCAAUUGAUUUAUAUUGUAAAAAACCUUUUUAACCAUUCUGUUCCGUUAAUAAAAAAAAAAAAAAAAUCUCCCCGAGACCCCCUUUUGCCCCCCCCCCCUUUUUUUUAAACCCUCCACUUACAACUGAAUGUAGGUUGUGUACUAUCUAUCCUAUCAACGUAAAACGAACGACAACUCCAGUUUUUUUCCAUAUUAUUAGGUCUUUCCACUUUUCUGUGGAAAGCCUAUUGUAUUUGUUCUGAUUAUUAUUAUUAUUAUUAUUUUUUUUUUUUUCCGCCAAAUUUUGUUCUUGCGAUAAAUGUUUGUUUCGCAAUAUGUCGCUUAGAUUUUUUUCAUAUUGUAUCGUAUAGUUUAUGCGCUUUUAAAUUUCACCCUGCUAAGCCGAACCAUUUUCUUUGUAAGAGUUAUCUCCCUAUUCACUGUUUGUCAUGUGUGUGCAUCUCCUUCGUAACAAAAUAAGAAAGCGACAAAAUUCUUUUUACAAAUUGUUCGUUACAUCCUCAGGAAUUUUUGGCUAAUUUGGAUCGAAGCGAUUCGAUGAAAUUUUAUAGGAGUUAUGUACCUUUACGGAAUAAAUUUGUCGGUAUGUUUUUUUUAACUCAUAAACCGUUAACCGUAUAACCCUGGAAUGUUUUUAUUUGAGUCCCCUGGGUCCUAACUUAGAAAAUUAGGUCAAGGUCAAAGGUCAAGGUCAUAUUUUAGAUUUUCAUAUGUCUUUGAUUUCCCUAUAAUUCUUGAAUGGUUAUAGAUACAGAAAAUUUAAGCAGUGAAAAAUGUUCAGUACUUCAAGGGGCAACUUUGUUACAUUAUGACUGUAUUGGUUUUACCAUUAUGUAAGGGACAUAACCCCCAUUGAUGGUUUAUAAAAAGCCAUUAUUAGGCAAAACUCUUAAACAAAAGGUCCUUGACCCAUAGGGUCUUUUGCAAUGACAUUGUGAAGCAAUGACCUUGACAAAGGUCACAAGGUCAAAGGUCAAGGUCAUGUACAUAUGUGAUUUGGGGCACGACUUGAAGAAUUUUAUGUGUGUUUGCCAACCAACCAACCAACCAACCAACCAAUCAUGAUCAAUCAAUAAUGAUCAAUCAACAAAUCAUGAUCAUGAUCAAUCAAUCAACCAAUCAUGAUCAUGAUUAAUCAAUCAAUCAAUCAUGUUUCCGUCUCAUGUGUUUAAUAUAGGGUUCAAGAUCUCCUUUGUUUCUUUUUCGCUGUUUCAAUUGACCCUUUCCAACGUGUUUAACCAACCAACCAACCAACCAACCAACCAACCAACCAACCAAUCAAUCAAUCAAUCAAUCAAUCAAUCAAUCAAUCAAUCAAUCAAUCAAUCAAUCAAUCAAUCAUGAUCAAUCAAUCAUGUUUCCGUCUCGUCUCGUGUGUUUAAUAUAGGGUCCAAGAUCUUCUUUGUUUCUUUUUCGCUGUUUCAAUUGGCCCUAUCCAACGUGUUUAACCAACCAACCAACCAACCAACCAACCAACCAACCAAUCAAUCAAUCAAUCAAUCAAUCAAUCAAUCAAUCAAUCAAUCAAGUUUCCGUCUCGUGUGUUUAAUAUAGGGUCCAAGAUCUUCUUUGUUUCUUUUUCGCUGUUUCAAUUGGCCCUAUCCAACGUGUUUAACCAACCAACCAACCAACCAACCAACCAACCAACCAACCAACCAAUCAAUCAAUCAAUCAAUCAAGUUUCCGUCUCGUGUGUUUAAUAUAGGGUCCAAGAUCUUUUUUGUUUCUUUUUCGCUGUUUCAAUUGGCCCUAUCCAACGUGUUUUACCAACCAACCAACCAACUAAUCAAUCAAUCAAUCAAUCAAUCAAUCAUGAUCAUGAUCAAUCAAUCAUGAUCAUGAUCAAUCAAUCAUGUUUCAUGAAAAAUUGAAAUUUAAUAUUGUUCUUGCGUCACUUCUGAAAAAAAAAUCCACAUGUACUCUGAAACUACAAAUACAAUCGACCUCAAAAUUUGCAGUCAGCAGGGCAUACAUGUACUAAAAGUUUGUAAAAAAAUUUGGUGCAGAUAUCUCUCAAAGCUUUUCCUAGAGAAAAAAAAUUGCAAUGCCGUAAAAAUUGCUUGCUAGGUCCGUAAAUUUCAGUAAAAGCCUACAAUAAAAUGUCCGCUCCGAGAUUGAAAUACUAAUCUGUGUUACAAACAGGUGCUGAAAAAUGUACAUUAUCAGAAAAUAAUCAAUAAAUGUGUUUUAAAGUUACACCGGAUCAAAUAAAUCCAAAUCAUGCACUGUUUGUGAACUGUCAUCAAAAUGUCAAUUUCCUACAAUGACAAAAGAAAUUACAUUGUGUGCAUUCCGUCUCUAUACAUGUUGUCUGUUCAAAGUCCCCACCUAAAAAGGAAUAAAAAGACUAUCUUUUCGUUAUUAUAAACCCGUGUCACGUGAUGUGGCGCGCGCGCUGUACCUAAAAUAAAAGAAAAACUUUCCAAACUAAACAUGAAACUUCUCCGGUAACAAUAAUAUAGACCCCAUACAGAAACAAACAAACAAACAAACAAACAAACAAACAAACACCCCCCCCCCCCAAUUCAAUUAAUUUUAAAGGGGGAAAGACCCCCUACAAUUGCUUUUUUAAAGCAAUUGAUUUAUUUUAUUAUUAUUAUUAUUUAUUAUUAUUAUUAUUAUUUUUUUUUUUCCGCCAAAUUUUGUUCUUGCGAUAAAUGUUUGUUUCGCAAUAUGUCGCUUAGAUUUUUUUCAUAUUGUAUCGUAUAGUUUAUGCGCUUUUAAAUUUCACCCUGCUAAGCCGAACCAUUUUCUUUGUAAGAGUUAUCUCCCUAUUCACUGUUUGUCAUGUGUGUGCAUCUCCUUCGUAACAAAAUAAGAAAGCGACAAAAUUCUUUUUACAAAUUGUUCGUUACAUCCUCAGGAAUUUUUGGCUAAUUUGGAUCGAAGCGAUUCGAUGAAAUUUUAUAGGAGUUAUGUACCUUUACGGAAUAAAUUUGUCGGUAUGUUUUUUAAACUCAUAAACCGUUAACCGUAUAACCCUGGAAUGUUUUUAUUUGAGUCCCCUGGGUCCUAACUUAGAAAAUUAGGUCAAGGUCAAAGGUCAAGGUCAAGUUCUCAAUUGUGACUUUUGCUUGUUUUUGCAUUUUCUCCGACACUUUGAGAGAUACAUAUAAAAGAACAAGUGCAAAAUGUCAGCUUUAUUGUAAUGAAGAUAUGCUACAUUUAGUCUUAUACAAUUAAAUGGCAUCUUAUAGGAGUUGGUGCCCCUGAAAUGUCUUGAUAUGAGGUUAUUUGAUUAUAACUUCAAUUAAGUUCAUUAUAAAGACAUUUGACCUUAUACAAAAGGUUAAGUGACAAAUGACCUUGAAAAAUGGCUACCGGAAGUGACCUUUAGAAAACCGGAAGUAGCUUUUUUUGCAAUUUUUUCACCUAAAAGUACUCAGAAUCCAUAUAUUUUGUCAUAUAGAUACAUUAACAGAUUACUGAAGACUAAAAAUGACUUCCAACAAACCGGAAGUGGCCAAUUAUCUCCC
rnacentral:lncRNA from 1 species